AGUGAGAUAGCAGGGUCAUAUGGUGGUUCCCUUCCCAGUUUUACAAGGAAUCCCCAUACUGCUUUCCAGAUUGGUUGCACCAGUUUGUAGUCCCAUUAGUAAU
rnacentral:pre_miRNA from 1 species